rnacentral:rRNA from 1 species
AAUGGGCGCAAGCCUGAUGCAGCCAUGCCGCGUGUAUGAAGAAGGCCUUCGGGUUGUAAAGUACUUUCAGCGGGGAGGAAGGGAGUAAAGUUAAUACCUUUGCUCAUUGACGUUACCGACAGAAGAAGCACCGGCUAACUCCGUGCCAGCAGCCGCGGUAAUACGGAGGGUGCCAGCGUUAAUCGGAAUUACUGGGCGUAAAGCGCACGCAGGCGGUUGAUUGAGUCAGAUGUGAAAUCCCCGGGCUUAACCCGGGGAUUGCAUCUGAUACUGGUCAGCUAGAGUCUUGUAGAGGGGGGUAGAAUUCCAUGUGUAGCGGUGAAAUGCGUAGAGAUGUGGAGGAAUACCGGUGGCGAAGGCGGCCCCCUGGACAAAGACUGACGCUCAGGUGCGAAAGCGUGGGGAGCGAA